rnacentral:rRNA from 1 species
GACGAACGCUGGCGGCGUGCCUAAUACAUGCAAGUUGAGCGCUGAAGGUUGGUACUUGUACCAACUGGAUGAGCAGCGAACGGGUGAGUAACGCGUGGGGAAUCUGCCUUUGAGCGGGGGACAACAUUUGGAAACGAAUGCUAAUACCGCAUAAAAACUUUAAACACAAGUUUUAAGUUUGAAAGAUGCAAUUGCAUCACUCAAAGAUGAUCCCGCGUUGUAUUAGCUAGUUGGUGAGGUAAAGGCUCACCAAGGCGAUGAUACAUAGCCGACCUGAGAGGGUGAUCGGCCACAUUGGGACUGAGACACGGCCCAAACCCCUAAGGGAGGCAGCAGUAGGGAAUCAUCGGCAAUGGACGAAAGUCUGAACGAACCACGCCGCGUGAGGGGAGGAGGUUUUCGGAUCGGAAAACUCGGUUGGUAGAGAAGAACGUUGGUGAGGGUGGAAAGCUCAUCAAGUGACGGUAACUACCCAGAAAGGGACGGCUAACUACGUG